rnacentral:rRNA from 1 species
AACUUUUAACAAUGGAUCUCUAGGCUCUCACACCGAUGAAGAACACAGUGAAAUGUGAUAAGUAAUGUGAAUCGCAGAAUUCAGUGAAUCAUCAAAUUUUUGAACGCACCUUGCGCCUUUUGGUAUUCCAAAAGGCACACCUGUUUGAGUGUCA